UCUGCCUUGAAAAGCUAUUUAAAUACAGUCUUCCUGUUUUUCAACUUUUCAAGUGACAUACUCGAUACUCCGAGUUGCGCCAUUGGAUGGAAGCUUUCAUACGAGUACGUCAUGCGGCAUCGAAUUUCGGACCACGCGGUAUCAAAAACGGAAAUGUGGAAGUUGAAAACAAGGAUAUCGUCAAACCUGGAAAAGCUCAUCUAGUUCUGAGCUUGCUGAAACUUGCCAAGUGAAGGGUUGUUGCUGCAUUCAUGACAUUGUUGGAAAAAAAUGAUGAAUGCUGAUUUCCACCCUCAUUUAUUGUUAUCUGGGAUUUUAGUCCAAGGUUAUAUAUGGUACGCAUUGAUCUACAAACUCCAGUUCUUGAAACCCUCUUCGUUUUAGUUAUGGGUGCAGGAUUACGGUUGUAUGUUGCCCUAAAGUCACAUACUCCAUGUGACAUCUCCAAAAAGUCCCACGAUCGCAAAAGACGUUGCUCGAGAAAGGUAUUGUUUGGUUCGCGUUAGUUGAUUCCUUGAUUGAAUGACGCAUCUCAUUUGCUUGAAGAUUCUUAUGACAGAUUUUAAGUCUCGUCACUACCACUGAUUGAACGAUAAUCAGUAUUAAUUCGUAUUCGUUACCGUAACUGAUCGGGGUAUAUUUUGCAGGUAUGCCACCUCGCGUUAUUUGACGGUGUUUUCUUCCAACAUUCUUGGUAGUGUCCCUUGGGUAAUUAGCCGCCACGUCAUAGUAAUUGUUUAUGAGGACUUGUGUAUUUUUUACACCUCCUCUGAUUUUGUAUUUGAAGAUUAUUUUUCAGUUGACAUUUUUAGUAUGCCCUCAGUAUAAGAACCGUUGCAGAUCAUUAACUAUUCCCUAUCCAUCUUAGGCUUUCCUGUCCAAUACUGCAUAGUGUGACGAAAGUGGUUAUUCCCAUUGUCGUGGGUGCAAAAAUUCAGCUGUUUCAGUGGCAACCGUCUGGGUUUUCCAAAAUGGCGGUUGAAGAUGAAAACCCUGUUAUAUUACUAACAUUUGAGCCG